rnacentral:rRNA from 1 species
GACGUAGGGCGCGAGCGUUGUCCGGAUUUAUUGGGCGUAAAGAGCUCGUAGGCGGCUUGUCGCGUCGUCCGUGAAAACCUGCAGCUCAACUGCAGGCUUGCGGUCGAUACGGGCAGGCUAGAGUUCGGCAGGGGAGACUGGAAUUCCUGGUGGUAGCGGUGAAAUGCGCAGAUAUCAGGAGGAACACCGGUGGCGAAGGCGGGUCUCUGGGCCGAUGACUGACGCUGGAGGAGCGAAAGCG